rnacentral:rRNA from 1 species
UACGAAGGGGGCUAGCGUUGCUCGGAAUCACUGGGCGUAAAGGGUGCGUAGGCGGCGGGGCAAGUCUGAUGUGAAAUCCCGGGGCUCAACCCCGGAACUGCAUUGGAUACUGCCUUGCUUGAGUACUGGAGAGGGAACUGGAAUUUACGGUGUAGCAGUGAAAUGCGUAGAUAUCGUAAGGAAGGCCAGUGGCGAAGGCGAGUUCCUGGACAGUUACUGACGCUGAGGCACGAAGGCCAGGGGAGCAAACGGG